AUGAAGCUGAACAUCUUCUUCCCAGCCACUGGCUGCCAGAAACUCAUUUAAGUGAUUGAUGAAUGCAAAAUUCUUACUUUUUAUGAGAAGCGUAUGGCCACAGAAGUAGCUGCUGACGCUCCGGGUGAAGAAUGGAAGGGCUACGUUGUUUGAAUAAAUGAUGGGAACGACAAACAAAGUUUCCCUAUGAAGCAGUGUGUCUUGACCCAUGGCUGUGUCCACCUGCUACUGAGUAAGGGGCAUUCCUGUUACAGACCAAGGAGAACUAGAGAAAGAAAGCGAAAUCUGUUAGUGGUUACGUUGUAGAUGCCAAUCUGAGCGUUCUCAACUUGAGAGAAGGAUAUUCCUGGACUGACUGGUACUACGGUGCCUUGUUGCCUGGGGCCCAAAAGAGCUAGCAGAAUCCACAAACUUUUCAAUUUCCCUAAAGAUGAUGUCUGUGAGCAUGUUGUAAGAAAGCCCUUCAACAAAGAAGGUAAGAAACCUAGGACCGAAGCACAGAAGAUUCAGCGUCUUACUACUCCAUGUGUCCUGCAGCACAAACAGUGGCGUAUUGCUCUGAAGAAGCAGCAUACUAAAAAAAUCAGGAAGAGGCUGCAGAAUAUGCUAAACUUUCGGCCAAGAGAAUGAAAGAGGCUGAAGAGAAGCACCAGGAACAGAGUGCCAAGAGAUGCAGACUCUUCUCUCAGCGAGCUUCUACUUCUGUCUGAAUCCAGUCAAAAAUAA
rnacentral:lncRNA from 1 species